rnacentral:miRNA from 14 species
AAGUGGAGGAGUGGUCUCCUC